AGAGUUGUGCUCACUAAAGUCAUAACCAUUUCCUGAGUCUGUUUUUUUUUUUUUUUUUCAGUGAAAAGCAAAUUUGGAUUAUCAACAACUGCAGAUCCUCAAGUUUUCGAUGACAUGGACACUAAUGUAGAAGAGGACAUCUUCCACGAGUUAAUGGACAGCAGUCCACAUUUAUGCUUGACUGUUAGAUGUUUGGAAAAAAAUAUUUCUGCUGGCCUGCCUGAGGUGAUUUCACCCACAAGAUCAUCAACAGCCAGCACAUGUACUGAUACAGUUUCACUCUCUUCAACGGAUCAUGAAGACCCAGAGCGAACAAUGCAGAAUCAAUUGACAAGGACUAACAGCUGCUUGAUAGUAGAUGGUAAAGGGCAAAACAGAUUGUUCAAGAUGCAUUGGGAAAGCAAUCUGGUGGUGAUGAAGUACUUGACGAAUACAAGGUCACAAAAACUUUAGGGCCACAGCACUAGACGGCAGCUGGUUAAUAUUGUCGUCAGUCACAUGAAAGAGAUUCAUGGGAGAAUCCCCACGUGCAAGCAACGGGAGU